rnacentral:snoRNA from 1 species
CAUUCAGGCCAAAUUGUUCAAUAGCUGGAAUUACCGGCAGAUUGUAUAGUGUUGACAUUUGGUUUUCUGAAA